GACCUUGUGAGAUUAUGUCCUAAGAGUGGCUAGUAUUCUGCCAGCUUCAGAAGCAGGAGGAAAAGCAAGCCCAGCUGAGGUGCCCACUCCAUUCCCAGAGUGCUCAGCAGGUGACUGGAAGACACACUAAAACAUCA
rnacentral:snoRNA from 1 species